CGGACGGGUGAGUAACGCGUGAGAAUCUGCCUUCAGGAUGGGGACAACCAUUGGAAACGACUGCUAAUACCCGAUAUGACGAAAGGUGAAAGAUUUAUCGCCUGGAGAUGAGCUCGCGUCUGAUUAGCUAGUUGGUGUGGUAAAGGCGCACCAUGGCGACGAUCAGUAGCUGGUCUGAGAGGAUGAGCAGCCACACUGGGACUGAGACACGGCCCAGACACCUACGGGAGGCAGCAGUGGGGAAUUUUCCGCAAUGGGCGCAAGCCUGACGGAGCAAUACCGCGUGAGGGAGGAAGGCUCUUGGGUCGUAAACCUCUUUUCUCAGGGAAGAACACAAUGACGGUACCUGAGGAAUCAGCAUCGGCUAACUCCGUGCCAGCAGCCGCGGUAAUACGGAGGAUGCAAGCGUUAUCCGGAAUGAUUGGGCGUAAAGCGUCCGUAGGUGGUUUUGUAAGUCUGUGGUUAAAGCGUGUAGCUCAACUACAUAAGGGCCAUGGAAACUACAAGACUUGAGUGAAGUAGGGGUAGAGGGAAUUCCCAGUGUAGCGGUGAAAUGCGUAGAGAUUGGGAAGAACACCGGUGGCGAAAGCGCUCUACUGGACUUAUACUGACACUGAGGGACGAAAGCUAGGGGAGCGAAAGGGAUUAGAUAC
rnacentral:rRNA from 1 species